UUAAGUGAAUAAGGGCGCACGGUGGAUGCCUUGGCACUAGGAGCCGAUGAAGGACGGGACUAACACCGAUAUGCUUUGGGGAGCUGUACGUAAGCUAUGAUCCAGAGAUUUCCGAAUGGGGGAACCCAACAUCUUUAAUAGGAUGUUACGAUUGUGUGAAUACAUAGCACAUUCGAGGUAGACGCAGAGAACUGAAACAUCUAAGUACCUGCAGGAAGAGAAAGAAAAUUCGAUUCCCUGAGUAGCGGCGAGCGAAACGGGAAAAGCCCAAACCAGCAAGCUUGCUUGUUGGGGUUGUAGGACUCCAAUAUGGUAGUUCUUUCAGAUAGUCGAAUGACUUGGAAAAGUCAGUCAAAGAGGGUAAAAACCCCGUAGACGAAAUGUGGAAGACACCUAGGAGGAUCCUGAGUACGGCGGAACACGAGAAAUUCCGUCGGAAUCCGGGAGGACCAUCUCCCAAGGCUAAAUACUCCCUAGUGACCGAUAGUGAACCAGUACCGUGAGGGAAAGGUGAAAAGCACCCCGGAAGGGGAGUGAAAUAGAACCUGAAACCGUGUGCCUACAACAAGUCAAAGCCCGUUAAUGGGUGAUGGCGUGCCUUUUGUAGAAUGAACCGGCGAGUUACGAUUGCAUGCGAGGUUAAGUUGAAGAGACGGAGCCGCAGCGAAAGCGAGUCUGAAUAGGGCGUUUGAGUAUGUAGUCGUAGACCCGAAACCAUGUGAUCUACCCAUGUCCAGGUUGAAGGUGCGGUAAAACGCACUGGAGGACCGAACCCACGUACGUUGAAAAGUGCGGGGAUGAGGUGUGGGUAGCGGAGAAAUUCCAAACGAACUUGGAGAUAGCUGGUUCUCUCCGAAAUAGCUUUAGGGCUAGCCUCGGAAUUGAGAAUGAUGGAGGUAGAGCACUGUUUGGACUAGGGGCCCAUCUCGGGUUACCGAAUUCAGAUAAACUCCGAAUGCCAUUCAUUCAUAUCCGGGAGUCAGACUGUGAGUGAUAAGAUCCAUAGUCGAAAGGGAAACAGCCCAGACCACCAGCUAAGGUCCCAAAAUAUAUGUUAAGUGGAAAAGGAUGUGGGGUUGCACAGACAACUAGGAUGUUGGCUUAGAAGCAGCCACCAUUUAAAGAGUGCGUAAUAGCUCACUAGUCGAGUGACCCUGCGCCGAAAAUGUACCGGGGCUAAACAUAUUACCGAAGCUGUGGAGUACACCUUUAGGUGUAUUGGUAGGAGAGCGUUCUAAGGGCGUCGAAGGCAGAUCGUGAGGACUGCUGGAGCGCUUAGAAGUGAGAAUGCCGGUAUGAGUAGCGAAAGACAGGUGAGAAUCCUGUCCACCGAAUGACUAAGGUUUCCUGGGGAAGGCUCGUCCGCCCAGGGUUAGUCGGGACCUAAGCCGAGGCCGACAGGCGUAGGCGAUGGAUAACAGGUUGAUAUUCCUGUACCCGUUGUUUUUGUUUGAGCAAUGGAGGGACGCAGGAGGCUAAGGAAUGCAGACGAUCGGAAAUGUCUGUCCAAGCAGUAAGUCUGAAGAGGAGUCAAAUGCUUCUUUUCUUAAGGACAAGCUGUGAUGGGGAGGGAAAUAAUAGUACCGAAGUUCCUGAUGUCACACUGCCGAGAAAAGCUUCUAGUGAGAAAACAGCGGCCCGUACCGCAAACCGACACAGGUAGUCGAGGAGAGAAUCCUAAGGUGAGCGAGAGAACUCUCGUUAAGGAACUCGGCAAAAUGACCCCGUAACUUCGGGAGAAGGGGUGCUGAUCAUACGAUCAGCCGCAGUGAAUAGGCCCAAGCGACUGUUUAUCAAAAACACAGGUCUCUGCAAAAUCGUAAGAUGAAGUAUAGGGGCUGACGCCUGCCCGGUGCUGGAAGGUUAAGAGGAGUGCUUAGCGCAAGCGAAGGUACGAAUUGAAGCCCCAGUAAACGGCGGCCGUAACUAUAACGGUCCUAAGGUAGCGAAAUUCCUUGUCGGGUAAGUUCCGACCCGCACGAAAGGCGUAACGAUUUGGGCACUGUCUCAACGAGAGACUCGGUGAAAUUUUAGUACCUGUGAAGAUGCAGGUUACCCGCGACAGGACGGAAAGACCCCAUGGAGCUUUACUGUAGUUUGAUAUUGAGUGUCUGUACCGCAUGUACAGGAUAGGUAGGAGCCGUAGAAAUCGGAACGCUAGUUUCGAUGGAGGCGCUGGUGGGAUACUACCCCUGCGUUAUGGCCACUCUAACCCGCACCACUAAUCGUGGUGGGAGACAGUGUCAGAUGGGCAGUUUGACUGGGGCGGUCGCCUCCUAAAAGGUAACGGAGGCGCCCAAAGGUUCCCUCAGAAUGGUUGGAAAUCAUUCGAAGAGUGUAAAGGCAGAAGGGAGCUUGACUGCGAGACCAACAAGUCGAGCAGGGACGAAAGUCGGGCUUAGUGAUCCGGUGGUUCCGCAUGGAAGGGCCAUCGCUCAACGGAUAAAAGCUACCCUGGGGAUAACAGGCUUAUCUCCCCCAAGAGUCCACAUCGACGGGGAGGUUUGGCACCUCGAUGUCGGCUCGUCGCAUCCUGGGGCUGUAGUCGGUCCCAAGGGUUGGGC
rnacentral:rRNA from 1 species